UCAUCCUUGUAUCAUUCUUCAAUUGGUCUUUCACAUCUGAAAACGACCGAAUCAAUACAACCACGUACAUACAACAAGCUUCCCCGUCAUAAAUGUCCCCGGAUGAUUAAAAUGAAAUGGAUUAAUUGGUAGUACGACUGCUAGUAUGUGAAACAAUAUUUGGAGCACGGCUCUCAUUGAUUUCUCGAACCUCGUGACCUAUAUAUCAAGUUAACAAGAACCACAAAAAUGCUCGGCCAUUGUACAAGGUUUAAGCUGAUUCAGCAUUCGUGAAACAAUUUUUAAAAGUUUAGAAAUCCACUUGUAUUUAUCAGGUAAAAAUACAUGCCCAUCGAUAGAGGAGCUUUUCUACAACGUGUCGUGAUACGUCAUUCGUGAUUGAUGUCGUGGCUUUUUACGAAUCGACGAAUAUAAGGAGAACAGUGAUGAAAACGAGAAAGAUUGAUGAUUCGAGUGACGAAGGAUUCGAAGGAAGGACUUACGUGUCGUUUAACAAGGAUAGUCGGUGAUCACUAUUUUAACAGUGCCAUGGGAAAAAGCCAGAGGCUCAUAUACGCUCCGCAUCGCCCAAAUGGCGAUACCAUACUGACGAUCGUUCGCAGCAAAGCUACUAGGCAGGCGUGCAACCAGGGGCGGCACUUGCGUUGUAAAAAGGACAUCGUUACCCUGAACUGAUAGCGAGCCCGGAUGUACCAGGCUGCUUCUCCGAUGCUUUUCGAACAACUUCAUUCACCCCCAUCUUCCAUUAUAAUUAAAUUUCUGAUGCGAGUAAUGACCCUCCACAUCAGUCAGCACGUUGAAGUUCUUUGUCAGAAACAUAAUUGAAAGGAGUUUGGUCUGCUUUUGAUUGAAUCGCUGACAAAACACGUCGAUAAAGCCAUUGAUUCAAAGUUCAGAAUAGACGAAGGAAGAGUGCGCAAAACUAACGUGAUUAAGGAGUACGUAAGAAAGGAGAGUCCGGCUGCGCAAUAUGACGUUGCACCUUCUGAACGACUACUACAAUGCUGGGUAAGGAACGUGUACCAUCCUCGAGAAUGGAUGGCCUCAUUGCAUAGACGUGCUUGCUACCAGCUGGAUCAAUAACUUUGUCAGGCUUAGUUGGAUGUUCGGGAACGUGGAGGUGGAAAACAGGGACGUAGAAACUAUAUUCGAAGGUCUAAGAGCCCUUUAAAUCAACAAUAUUCAAUUAUUUCAAUGAAAAACUGAGAGUUUUAUAAUGAACUGUAACUGAAGAUAGACAAAUUAAAUUUAUUUUUAUUAUUCUAAUGUUUACUUGUGUAGUUUGUUGUCCUUAGUAUAAUCAUAAAGUAUAAUAUAAUUAGAAAAGUAUGAAAUUUUUUACGAAUCAGUUAUAAUAUUUUCAUAAGAUUGUAUAGAAGGGCUUAAAAAAUAUAUGCAUAUUUAAGUAAUUAAUUAACUGAUCGGUAUCAUAUAACAAAUCAAACAUCAUAAAUUUUAAUUGGUAAUACACAGCAUUAACAUCGGCAUUGUUAACGCAGUCGCUGUCAACUGCUAACUGAUUCUGAGCGAUUGUAAUCGUGACUUUUGUAUCUUAAUCAAACUUCUGCGUAUGCGCACGCAAAUGUAUAUCAGUAACUACAGAUCCAACAAACCUGGACAUGUCUUUGUUUUCGAGGGGUCAUCAUUUUGGGGGUGUCAACGACCCCUGGGGUACGGUAUUCCUUUUGAAGAAUUAUAAUAAGAACAAUUAAUAACUAGUCAUGACGCCCACAAAGAGAUUUAUAUUGACGAAUUAAACAUAAAACUUUGUUUAAAACUGAUUUUGAAUGUAACAAUA